GUGGCUGAAACUACUCAGCAGGUGCUUCUGUGCACUGUUGACUGAGAAAGCUGAGGUCAAACCUGCUUCCCUGGGAAUUCCCUGCUACACUGGGAAUUCCACCAUGGCUGCAUCUUCCAUGAAGAGGAAGAGGAGCGACUGAAGAAGAAAGAGGGUGGAGGUGAAGAUGUGGAGCUCAUAUUGAAUCUUUGGAAAAGUGAAAAUGGCUUUUAGUAUCCAGUAAGAAGAGUAAAUAGAAGAAUUUUAGCCACAAAUGGAAAAGAAAACGUCUCUUCCUCAGCUCAAAGAGACAAGCUCUUGUCAGUUCCUGUAAAAUUUAAUGCUGGUGGGCCUGGAAGCACAUUUCUCAGACACCCUAGCAAAUAGGAAUGACCAAGUAAUAUAAUUUUGCCAAUAAAAAUAUGCACAAUAUUUGGUGGAAAUUUCUCACAAAAUCUUGCUUUCCUCACAUAAAUGUUUCAUCUUCAUGCUUGUUGCUUUCUCUUUUUCCUUCCUAUUCAGAAAGGAGAUGGAUCAAUAAUUGUACAAGCAUGAAGACAAAUGCCAUAUCACAGCAAUGGUGAAAAGAAAGCCUAGAAGAAAUUUGUCUUCCCAACUUUUUUGGAACCCCUGAAUCAGAUUGACUGCCUCGAAAUAGACUUCUUUUUAAACACACAAAAAAAGUAAUCUCAUUUUUAACAGCCAUAAGAAUAUACCUUGUGGACCAUAAAUACUGUAAAAUUAUUUGACCAGGGCCCCUAGCUGUUCUAUUCCCAAGUGCUUUGUUGUGUUUUUGCUGUGGCUCAGUAUCCCAUGAACUGUUUCCAGCUAAUAACUGAGUGCAUAAGGGAUACUAAGACAGACAAAGUUUCUGGGAGACUAAGGACUCCUCCGACAGCUGAAUUUAGUGUCAGGCCUUCCUUGCUUAACUCAACUUACACUGCAAGGUGGCCUAGGUUGCUUCCAUCCAAACUUCUUCCCUCUAUCCUUGCACUGUGGUCUGAUGAUUCUCUCAGCUGACAUUUUCUCUGACAGGUAUUUCCCCUAAUAACACUUAAUUUUGUCUUGAUGUCUGGUUCUGGGAGGACCCAGCUUAGCACACUAUUUUUAUAAGACACUGCUAAUUUAUGCAGGACAAACUUUUUGCUGGGCAAAGACAAAAAAAU
rnacentral:lncRNA from 10 species